UACGUAGGGGGCGAGCGUUGUCCGGAUUCAUUGGGCGUAAAGCGCGCGUAGGCGGCUUCGUAAGUCGGCCGUGAAAUCUCCAGGCUUAACCUGGAGGGGUCGGGCGAGACUGCGGGGCUCGAGGUGGGCAGAGGGCAGUGGAAUUCCGGGUGUAGUGGUGGAAUGCGUAGAGAUCCGGAGGAACACCAGUGGCGAAGGCGGCUGCCUGGGCCUGGCCUGACGCUGAGGCGCGAAAGCGUGGGGAGUGAGCCGG
rnacentral:rRNA from 1 species